rnacentral:SRP_RNA from 1 species
GUAUGGGUCCUGUGCGGCGGAGCGCCGUGAACCAUGUCAGGCGGGGAACCGAGCAGCAUUAAACGGUCUGCCCGCGCGACACAGUAACGCCUGUACGCC